AAAGUUCGCCACAAAGUGAUCACGAAAUGAUCUCCGUAUUAAUAACAGUUUCGUGGUUUGUUACUCGUUUGAAUAAACGUAUAGUUUUGACAUCCCUUUCAAAUGACACGCGGAAGUUUUGAAUAUUUGUUGUACCACGAGCUAUCACGAAAUUAUGCUGGGCCAAAAGGUGUUUAUACAGUAGUUUCUUCCUGUGCUGCGUUGUGCACGUCUGUUUCAUCAUCUGAGCUAUCAGUUGUGUUUCUUUGAAGCAAAGAUGUAUAGAAUAGCACUGAAAGUCGGAGGUGUCAUAUUUGUUCAACCUGGUGUUAAACGUAAUUUCAAUUCUUGACCAGUGCAUGUAAAGAAAUUGAAAAUAAAACCGACUUGACUUGUCAUUGGGUCUGAUUUUAAAUGUGCCAUAUAGUUCAAUGUGGGAGCAGGUUCACACACUAAAUAAGACACUAAGGUCAAGCACAAGCAGAUUAAAAAAAAAUAAAAAAUUCUCAGAGCAGAUUAGAGCAGACGUUUCAGGUUGCUGCCAUCAGAGAGUAUUGACUUGACCUUAGUGUCUUUAGUGUGCUCCCACAUUGAGCUCUACUUUUUGGGUCCAUGCACCUACUUAUUUCUAAACAUCUAGAGCGCAACAAUACCCCUGCCUCCUGAUAUGCCAUAUAACCUGUAUCUCUCCAAGUGUGUGUGUGUGUGUGAGAGAGAAUGUGUGCACGCAGAUAUAAGAAGUUGGGGUUGAUGAUCCACAUGAUGGUGAUGGACCAGGACAGCUCUGGACCUCCUGACUGGCAGCUCCAUCCUCAACCUCUCUUCCUGCCCUUCACACAUGUGCAGGCAGCCAGUUUUCUGAAAGAUGGUUGAUGUCAGUACCAACAUGUUGUGAUGGAGGCUUCCACCUGAGCUGAACACAGAAACUUGCACACAGUGUUGGAAGCAGUCGUUCCUGCUCAGCAUCGAUAUGCCAGUAAUGGGUUUGAUGAGCCACAGCAUGGUGAUGGGCAAUCAGCAUCAGGACCAGGGCAGCUCACAAGGAGAACCUCCUGCCCUGCCUCGUCAUCCUCAACCUCCCAUCUCCCUGCUCUUCACACAUGUGCAGGCACGGAGCCAGUUUUCAGAGGGAGGGCUGAUGACACCAGCAACUUUGGUGAACCUGAUCAACCCAGCACCAACCACUGUGCCCCUCCUCCUCUGCCAACUGCACCACAUGGCUCCACCAUCUCAAAAAGGCACAGACACUACUCCUACUACUUCCUGCGAAGGAUGAGAGAAGAGCCGACCGCCCCACAUCGGCACUCACCACCUUCUACAGGGGUGUCAUUGAGAGCAUCCUGACCAGCAGCCUCUCUGUCUGGCAUGGCAGCCGUCAAGCUGAAGACUAGAAGGCAGUACAGAGAGUGUGGUGAGAACGGCAGAAAAGCUCAUAAGAUCACCCCUACCAGCCAUUCAGGAUCUGUACACUUCACACUGUUCCAAGAGGGCAAUGAACAUCAUAAAGACACAACUCAUCCAGCAUACAGACUGUUCUCCCUACUACACAAGCACACUGGGAAACGGCUUCUUUCCACAAGCCAUCAGACUCCUCAACGCACUGAAGAAAACCACAUGAAUAUUCCAAGGACACUGGAGAAUAUUCCAUGAACACUUCUUUCACCAUGCCACUUACACUUUACUCAUUGCUCCUUAUAUACAGCAUCUUCACAUCACCUGUAUGAUCUCCUCCUGCCGUGUGUGUGUGUGUGUGUGUGUGUGUGUGUGUGUGUGUGUGUGUGUGUGUGUGUGUGUGUCCACUGUGUUUGUGUAUUUAUUGUCCAUCAGUAUGUUAAUCUUCUUAUUGCACACUGUUUGUGUCUCUGUGUGACUGUAUUUAUUGUAUGUAUCAGUCUGUAUUUCAUGCCAAUGCAUUAUUUUUAGUUAUUAGUUAAACUGCACAUUGGAGACUGGUCAAACACAAUUUCAAACUUUGUGUUAACCCUCCAUAGAUUUUUAUUUAAAAAAUGGAGUCUAAUCUACUGUACUACACAGGCUAUCAACAGACCACACAGUUGAGUGCUGUUUUAUGCACUCUGAAUAUGAGAAGGAGAGGUAACCGUUCACACUUCAUAGUGUAAAAGUAAACAGAAAUAAAUUUUCACAUUUCA